UACGAGUGCCUCAAGCGUUAUCCGGAAUCAUUGGGCGUAAAGGGUGUGUAGGUGGUUUUUUAAGAGAGAGGUGAAAUCCCUGGGCUUAACCUAGGAACUGCCUCUCAGACUGGAAGACUGGAGUAUUGUAGAGGGUAGUGGAAUUUCCGGUGUAGCGGUGAAAUGCGUAGAGAUCGGAAGGAACACCAGUGGCGAAGGCGGCUACCUGGACAAAUACUGACACUGAGGCGCGAGAGCGUGGGUAGCAAACAGG
rnacentral:rRNA from 1 species